AUGACCUGCCCUCGCGAGCCCCAGGGGCUGCUGGGUUAUUGCCAAGGUGAGCUGCAUAACCCGGGCAGGGCCUGCCCUCGUGAGCCCUGGGAACUGGAAGGGGCUUGUGAACAAGCAUCCUUUGCAGUUGGUACAGAGUUGUUUAGUGUGAUUCCUGGGGGCAUUGCUGGAAUGAAAUGAGAACCAGAAAGUGCUGCACGUCCUUGGACCCCCACCCAGACUCAUCCAGAGUGACAAGCACCCAGUCCUGCACCUCCUGUGUCAGUCUUGCCUUCCAGGGAGUUGUCUCAGCACUUCAGCAAGACAAAGAAAUGGCUGAGCCUGCUAGAACCAAGGCACACUGAAAUCCACUCUUGGGUGGGAGUAUGGAUUCUUCACUGUCACCCUGGAUACUCAACCUUCACGACACAAGCCCACACCCUGAAAUCAAAGACCCAGCUCUACUCCCUCAGAUGCACUACAUAUGAUGGAGUGCCAAUCUCAGCCAGCCAGGCCAGUCACCACACCCAACUUUAUCCAACUCCCUGAAAGAAGCAACCCUCCUAUUGAAGUGAGGACAGCAAGCCUUUCAUCAGCAGCCUUCCUCCCCGACACUCAGCUUGGACUCCUAAACAACCCAGCCGUGACUCACCUUACAUGGAUUUGGACAGGUUCCUUCAAAUGGGUGUCCCACAGAGGCUGAAGCAGCUCAGCUGCAGAAGGCAGGCAGAGGCUUUGGGGAACCCUGGAGAGACAGAACCACACCAUAAGCACAGCUCACACCCUGAACACGUAAGACAUACGACCUUAACACCCUGAAGCUCAGGUUUCUAGACUUCAAACACCCUGCCAGGCUGAUUUGAAAACGGCAUGUCCAGGAUUCAAGCCAGGUUUCUCUGGUCCAGCCUCAAACAAGAAAGGACCCUUAGACCCCGGAGAGCCAGUCAAACUCACUCAUACUCUGGCUGCCUGACUGGCAGGAAUGGAAUCAGAUACCUGAUGGCAAAAUUCCAUCCCCUCACUGAAUGGAGUCCCAUUGGGCUGCAGUGUCAGGGCACCACGAAAACAAACCCCAGGCUCUUGGCCCCUCCUUGGGAUUCCAUGGGUCCCUUUCCAAUCCAAUCUGAGCCUGGAGAGAUGCAGAGAGAUGCAGCGGGCUCUGCUGGUGCUCUGUCGCCCUCUGGAGGACAUGUCCUCUAAAAGCAACUCUCAGACCUUCCUCUGUGUCCCGCAGCUAAAUUCUGGUGUGCCCUGGCCUGGGGCAAUUGCCAGCAUGAUAUUCUUCCUCCUCUCCCUGUCGGGUGCACUGUCACAGUCAGCCAAGACCCUCACCCAACACAGCACCACCCCACACCCUGAAAUCCCCUCCAUUUUGUAAGUCAUGAGAGCAGGCUCCACAUCAACCAGCACCCUUCAGCCCUUGGAUCCAGCGUGAAGCCAGGGAU